UGGUUCCAGCAUCGAUGAAGAACGCAGCGAAAUGCGAUAAAUAAUGUGAAUUGCAGAAUUCCGUGAAUCAUCGAGUUUUUGAACGCACAUUGCACUCCUUGGUAUUCCGAGGAGUACGCCUGUUCGAGCGUCAUUACACUCUCAAGCUUUGCUUGGAUUUGAAUCACUGCCGUGGCAGGAUUCCAAUAUCGUCGGCAAUUGACCAUCUGUGAUGACUCACUCCGAGUUAAUUCGCCUGACACUUCUUUCAAGUUGACCUCGGAUCAGGCGGGGAUACCCGCUGA
rnacentral:misc_RNA from 1 species